GGCUGAGCCAAAUUUGGAUUUGUGUGGGUAUAGUGGGGAGUAGUUCCUUGAAUAGAGAGACCCUUUCAAGUAAGUCAAGACUGGUAGUGUGCUGUAUACAAAAGUAACAUCAGAAGUUUUGAAAGACAGACCAAUGUUCUGUUCCAAUGGUCUUAUGAUGAUGAGAGAGAACUGUGGGAACUGAGGGUGGAUCACAACAUAAAUUUUUCACUUUUUUUGUUGUGGUUUGCUUGAAUUUUUUCUUUCUUUUUUUUCUGAUUUUUCUUGUGCAGCAAGAUAACUGUAUAAAUAUGUGUGCCUCUAUUGAUUUAUCAUAUUUUUUUUUUACCAUGUUUAUCAUAUAUUGGAUUUCUUGCUAUCUAGGGGAGGGGGGAAGGGGGAAAAUUGGAACACAAGGUUUUGCAAGGGUCAGUGUUGAAAAAUUACCCAUGCAUAUGUUUGAAAAAUAAAAAAUUAAAAAAAAAACUUCAAUUAAAAAAUGCAAAAAAUAUAUAUUGAAAGAAAUAUCCAGUUCCUCUCUUGGAGAAGGGAGGAGGAAGGGAAGAUGGAGAAGAGAGUGUGGGGGGAGGGAAUCCAGUUUUGAAGUGGGAUGAAGUCUAUGGAAUGGUUUCAAGAAGACGGAAACUGCAGUUUUAAAGAUCUGGCCUACAGUAGUUUGGUGACCAGGGUGAGGAAUAACCUGAAAAUUACAGGACGGAACAUCUGGCAUUUAGCAGGAGAAACUGGAACACGAUGGCGCCUUCCGAGGGCGAGGAAAAGAGACGCUCUGCUCUCUUUCGCCAGUAGUAAGUACAUGGGGGUCCUUGAGGCGCAGGACAUCGCCUCCCCAGCCUCGGGCUCGUAGGAAGGAAGAGCCGUUACUGCAUUUCUUAGGCCCAGAGAGCAGAAGCAGCAGCAACGGAUUUGAAACAAAAAAAAAAAAAGUCUCAGAAGGGCGGGUCUGGUCUCUAAGAAAAAAGUUCCCAACGACGAAGCGUUCUCCAGAAGAGGAGUGAAGGGGCUUCCUAGCCAGGGUUGUAGACGCAGAGCCGGAACGAGCCUCUCCGCUCACCUUUCACAGAGGGGGAAACUGAGGCCGAGUGUAACGGACAAGCCCGGGGUUGCUUCGCUCGUGCAAGGGGAAGCAAUCGAAUUCCGAGUUCGCGAUCGGAUCGGGUGCCCCGCCCCUCUCCUCCACAUUUUGCCCAGGGAGGGAGAAAAGUAAGGCAUGGAGUCCUCUGGUCGGAAAGAAAAACCCAAAGUGAAAGAGACUGUGAACCGAAUAGAGAAAGCCAGGCAGAGAUCGGCUCAGCAGGAACUGAAGCAGAGACAGAGGGCCGAGAUUUAUGCUCUCAACAGAGUAAUGACCGAACUGGAGCAGCAGCAAUUUGAUGAGUUCUGUAAGCAGAUGCAGCCUCCAAGAGAAUGAACUCUCUCCUUCAUUGAGACCAGGUGGGGCCCCUGAGGCUUGGAUCAUGACCUUUGUAACCAGUUCUUCCAAGGUGGCUCACUUUGGGCCAUACAAAUGUAGAGACAAAGAUUUAUGUACUUUUUAAAGUUGGAUAAAUCUGAAUUUGAUACUUUCUGUGACUGCUUCUUCACCUAUCCCUGUCUUCCUCAGGUUAGCAUCAUUUUUCUGAACUUUUUUCCCCCCCAAUUUCAGUUGUUUGAACUGGGAGUGGGGAGUGCGGAAGAAAGUCAGAAUUUGUCGUGGAACUUUCUCUUUUCCAAGAAAAUAAACUACAAAGUCAAGGCCUGCUUGUCUAAGCCUUAGUUUGGAUGGCCAAAUCAUUGAGGCCGAAGUUUCAGUGGGUAAAAAAUGUUGACGUGAGCAAAGAAAACCUAGAGUACUUGGUAUCCUAGAACGAACACAUAAUCUGUUGAUGAAACUUUCCUCUUGCCUCCUGCUCUAUCCAUUGCUACUGUUGUUGCUCAUCAUCUGCAGCUACUUCCAGCUGUUAGGUUUUUGGGGGUGAUGAGAAUGCUGCUGAAUGAGUUUAAAUAUCUGGGUCAUUGGCCUAGAUUUGUGUGAAUCCUGACUGUAAACCUCAAAGCCAGAUUUCUUCUUUUACCCUCACAAAUGGACACCUAACAGAUUGGCCACAAAGGAGCGUGAGUUUUAAAAGUGACAUUUGGGAGCAGUGGCAGCAGCCCUAGAAAUUAAACAGUGAGAGGAGGAUCCUGAUUGGCCCCUCAAGAAUCAGCCAGCCACCUAACCAGAGUUUUUGGGACAGUCAAUUUAAUCUCUCCUACUCUCAUUUGUUUCUAACAAGUGUAACAUAAAUUAUUUCUACCUAAACCUUUCUAGGUUUAUUAUCUCAGGUUUAUCUAUUUUUUUAUAUUGGGGAGGAAGAAAUUGUCCUUUUUUAAGAUAUCGGAACAAGGGCUAGUCUGUUAUAGAAAUGGUUUGUGAGAAUGUAGAUAAGAAAAAAAAAGUCACCCUGAGAUAAACAAGAUGGAAAUGUAUGGAAGAUUCUAGUGCCCUCCAAAGAGUCCAGACUAACAAGGCUCAGCUUCUCAGUAAAAUCACCAGAACAUGUUCUGGGACUCUAUGCCCCAGUCUUAGCUUUGCAGCUCCGAGAGAGGGUGGCAAGGGAUAAUGGGAAAGUCUCAGCUCCAUUCCUUUCUGCCAAGGUUGUGCCCCGAGGAGAUAUGAUCUAGCAUUUGCAAAUUGGAACUUGGAAUAAAUUUUCACAUAGAAAUAAUGUUAUAAAUGAUAGCUUCUGUUAUAUUUUAUAAUUCAGGUGAUUAUAGAUUGAAUAGGCUUUUGUAGGAUCUCUUAGGAAUGCAACAUUACUUUUAUGGGGAAUGUGCCAAGUUGUGAACAGCCAACUUGUAGAACUGUGGAGCAAAAUCCAUUGGUAAGCUGGAGAUUACCUUUGUUAGCAUCUCUUCCAUGGCCUGGUUUGUACCUGUGAUGAGCUGGGAACUGGUGCAU
rnacentral:lncRNA from 1 species